GUAGUACUCCCUCCGUCCCAAAAUUCUUGUCUUAGAUUUGUCUAUACAUGAAUGUAUCUAGUCACAUUUUAGUNNNUAGAUACAUUCAUUUCUAGACAAACCUA
rnacentral:pre_miRNA from 1 species